rnacentral:rRNA from 1 species
AGAGUUUGAUCCUGGCUCAGGAUGAACGCUGGCGGCGUGCCUAAUACAUGCAAGUCGAGCGGUAACACUUCGGGUGACGAGCGGCGGACGGCAGAGUAACGCGUAGGAACGUACCCCAAACUGAGGGAUAACUCCGAGAAAUCGGGGCUAAUACCGCAUGUGAUCUUCGGAUUAAAGCUUCGGCGGUUUGGGAACGGCCUGCGUAAGAUUAGCUAGUUGGUAGGGUAAAAGCUUACCAAGGCGACGAUCUUUAGCUGGUCUGAGAGGAUGAUCAGCCUGACUGGGACUGAGACACGGCCCAGACUCCUACGGGAGGCAGCAGUAGGGAAUUUUCCGCAAUGGGCGACAGCCUGACGGAGCAACGCCGCGUGCAGGAGGAAGGCCUUCGGGUUGUAAACUGCUUUUAUCUGUGACGAUUUUGACGGUAGCAGAAGAAUAAGGAUCGGCUAAUUCCGUGCCAGCCGCCGCGGUAAUAC